AUCACAGAACUACAUUAACUGGUGUUUUCCCAAGUUGUUCUGACAAUGAUAAUCACAAUGCUGAUACUCUGGACAGUGCCUACACGGAGCACCGUUUAACUCCCCAGGGAGAGGAACCGGAAUCCACAGCGUUACUUUGGACGAUCCAGAAGCCAUAUCGGAAAACAAAUGCACAUAAAUUAUGAUGCCAGUGACACAGAAGGAGAACAGAACAUACAGAGGGAGUCAGGUGUCACGUACAAACCCAGAGUGGCCUAUCUACAGAAAAGGAGGCUCAAGUCCGUCACCCGUAGCACUACAUUUCUACUGACAUUGGCAAUCAAGCCUGAUUGGUGGGACAGGAGAGAAGAGCCCCUCGUUGCCCUAACUCUGUGCCCUGACUCUGUGAUGUUCAGCUUGUGGCCCAACUGUAUCCAGGGAUCAGGGGGGCGGUAUGCACCACAGACCUGAGCCUUGGGAUGUCUUCAGGAUCGAACUGCCAUUGCUGAUUUGUGAGUAGUGUUUGCAAGUGAAUCAAACUACCGCUGCUGAUUCAUGUAAACCGAACUGCUGCUAUCCUGACAAUGAAGAUUGAAAUCACCCCAAAGAACAGUUUCUAAACAGAUGCCUUGCUAGUGAGCUGUACAUGAAGGCAUUUGAGAGACACAGGAAGACUCAGCAAUGGGUACAAGAGAUCCAAGCAAAGCAAGCAAUAGGCGAUUGUGAAGUCCAGGGCUAAUGAGAGAUGGAAACUGGAGGCACAGAUGGCUGUGUCAUUAGCCCUGAGAGAUGAAGCAAGUUCGAGACAGCUAAAAACAGUACCGGGUAUUAAAGCUAUUCUUCCGCUUGUACCCGCCGGAGUGCUGAUGAUCAUUAUCAUCUGUCGUUAUCAUUACUAUUUUUUGAAUACCCACUUGGCACAUUUUAAUAAACUGUACUAGGGACUAGAUUAAAAAUCCUUAAAGC
ensembl:lincRNA A930104D05Rik RIKEN cDNA A930104D05 gene